UACGGAGGGAGCUAGCGUUGUUCGGAAUUACUGGGCGUAAAGCGCACGUAGGCGGCUUUUUAAGUCAGGGGUGAAAUCCCGGGGCUCAACCUCGGAACUGCCUUUGAUACAGCAAGUCUUGAGUUCGAGAGAGGUGGGUGGAAUUCCUAGUGUAGAGGUGAAAUUCGUAGAUAUUAGGAAGAACACCGGUGGCGAAGGCGGCCCACUGGCUCGAUACUGACGCUGAGGUGCGAAAGCGUGGGGAGCAAACAGG
rnacentral:rRNA from 1 species